rnacentral:rRNA from 1 species
CCUACGGGAGGCAGCAGUGGGGAAUAUUGGACAAUGGGGGGAACCCUGAUCCAGCCAUGCCGCGUGUGUGAAGAAGGCCUUAUGGUUGUAAAGCACUUUAAGCGAGGAGGAGGCUACUGAGACUAAUACUCUUGGAUAGUGGACGUUACUCGCAGAAUAAGCACCGGCUAACUACGUGCCAGCAGCCGCGGUAAU